CUUGUUUUUCAGAAUUAGAGCCACCUGCUGUAAUGUAGAGGGAGCUACUGAGCAACAGCUGCUGGUAAAAAGGAGUAGAAAGAAGGUUAAACUAGUGAGAACUGUAGAAGUCUCAGUUAUAAGCUCCAAAACAGCAGUAUGGAUCAUGCAGGUCGGUGGUCUGUGCUCCAGCUGGUGAGUUUUUACUUCGUCCUUCACAAUGCUGUUAUUUUGUGCCUCCUUCUCUUCCUCUAACAUGAUAAGAGCCAUAUGGGAAGGAGAUUGUAUCUUGAUGAUCGGACCAAGUCUUUCAUCAUUCUCUAGCAUGCUUCCCUUACAACCAAGAUCCAGUGGUGCAUGGCCGGACCUUGACUGAGCACAAUAAUUAUGAAGAGUUAGCCUGGUGUGAGUUGAAGGUCAUGAAUAUUGCAUGCGGUGAUGAUAGCUUGUGCUUUAAUUUGGAAGUUACUGUUUGUCUUGUUGAUUGGUAAGAAUCAAAAUCUCACAAAUUGCAUAGAUCUUAGAAAAAGUGAAAAGUAUAACUUCAAAAAAAAAAAUCACUCCUUAUUUCUGAAGUGAUUCUUCUCUGAAUAAGUUAAACCCUGCUUGCUAUGAAAAAAAAAAUACACUUUAAACUGAGGAUGGUUAAGGAAUUUGAAUCUGCAGUUUCUAAAGAAGUUGGCUGAAGGAGGCCUCUGGCCUUGUAUGUUCAUUUUGAAUAAAUCUUGGAAAAUUAUUAUACCAUCUAGGUUUUCUUUUUAAGAAAAGUGGAGUAAAUGUGGCACCUAUAGGUCAGUUAGCAUGUGCCAGUUCUAGGCAAAAAGAUUGGAUAUUCAUGGUGGGAUCCCAUUGGAAAUCCCCUUGGAAAUACCCAGGUAACUGGAGUAACCUCAUGUGGGUCUAUCAGAAAAUAGAUCUUUAUAAAUAAUCUUUGACAAAAAUAGCUGUAAUAUAAUAGUGUAUUGUUAAUUAAGAUAUAGCAUUCAUAUUAUCCCUACAAUAUAUGUUAAAUGGAUAUAGAACUGAUUAAGUAUCAGAUAAUAAUCACUGAAAGGAAAUGUUUCUAUGAGGGUUGUGGGGAAUUGUUCUGGGUUAAUGCAGUUCCAAAAUUUUAGUAAUGAAACAAUGGGUAAAAUUUGUGGAUAAUUAAAAAAAGAAAUUAUGUUGUGAUCACUAAUGAAGACAGGAAUGACGACACCAAGCCAUAAUUAUAGUAUUGUACUAAGUUAGGUCUUCGGAAACAGAGUAUGUUCUAGUACAGUCAAGUGGAAAGCAAUAAAGGAGUUCUGUUCAAAUUGCUCAAAUUUAUAAUUUGUGGUACUGCAUUUUUAGAAAGCAGUUUCUGUUUGCAGUGACCUGGUAUGGCUGUGAAUGCAUGAAGAGAAAUUUAAAACAAAAAGAAAAAAAAAAAAGGUAGCAAAAGCCUCUUUUUUUCUGACAGAGGGAAACAUCAUACUAACCAGUAGCAAGAAGUGAAAAUUAGAAUAAUCUAAGUGAGAGUUCAUUUCAGUAGUGAGCAUGACAUCCACAAUGGGAGGAAGGGAUGACUUUUUGUUACUUGUUCUGUUAAGUACCCCAAAUUAGUUCUAUAGUGAACCCACUACAGAGUGAAAAAUAAACAAUGCUCCCUGCCAAAAACAAGCCAAAACCAAACAAAUAACCCUAUGACUUCUAGGUGACCAAGACUUACUACAUUUUAAAGCUUAGGUCUCAGAUAUAUGAAUCUGUCAGGCAAACUUUCUAAGAGGCUUUUUCCUGGCUGAGUCACUUCUGACAGUGAUGCCUUUUUUCCAUUUAAUUAGGAGUCUCUUACACUACCUUAUGCAGAGAGAGUUUUGAAGUAUGUUUAUUUUCUAAUGUAUUUAUCACAGGUUGUCUGAUAGUCCAGCUUUUACGAAAAGUGCUUGUCUUCUACAUUUAAUUUAAAAGUACUUUCAGAGGGAGGAGCCUGUGCUGCUUCAGAAGGUGCACCUCUGCUGAUUUACAGAGCUUUAAGAAUCAUCCAUACUCUGAUGGGUAAAAUUGGCAAAAUUUAAGUUUGUAGAUGUACUGUGCCAGGUGAAAAAUGAUAUCUGCAUUGUUAUAUAAGAUGUCCCCGAUAGCAAUGUAACUCCCACAGGAAAAACUGUAAGCUGUCAAGUAACUCAAGAGUGGUGAUGUAAGUUCUCCCUUUAAAUUAAUGAUACUGAGAUAUUGGAAAUAAAGAACUGUAGUUGGACUGGUGAAGUAGCAAACUUUCCCAAAAGAAAACAGUAAAAUGUAUAUAUUUUUAAAGGUACUUGUAGCUGAUCACUUUUUUUCCACAAAACUCAAGAUUAUCUACUUUAUCAUUUAAGUAACUGCUCUCCUUUCCAAAUUUGUUCUCUACAGUAUCAGUGGUGUUUUUUUUUUUUUUUCUUGAAUUGUGAAGUAACACAAGUAUGUUAUUAAAUUACAUAUUUUCUGAAGACUUGUGGUAGGAGCAGUAUUAUUUGUAUCCAUUUGGGGUUCUGCUCUAGAACUGGAGUGCUCCGAAGUGCUGCCCAAGUGCAAAUAAAUAAAUGCCAGCGUUUCACAUACAGUGUAACUAUCGAGCUAUAGUAGUAGAAAAUGCCAGAUGAUUUUGUAAGCAUGCUGUAUUUGAAAGCCCAGGUUCUGCAAACAUGUAGGCUGAAGUAGUGGAACUGCUCAGGAAGAAAAUGAAGGCUGUCGGUAAUGCAGGGUUACGUUGUGAUGUAUUUAGGUCUCAGGCAGAGACAGGAUUUUGCAAAGAAAGCUGAAGUUAAAACUCACUUCCUGUACUCCUUCCUAAGCAAACAUUAAUGGUAAUAUUUGUAACUACUAACCUGUAAAACUGAGAAGCUGACACGGAUGCAAUAAUAAUUAAAAAAUAUAUAAUAAUUUUCAUACUGUUGUGAAAUGUACUUAAUAAAGUGUGCUAGGAAUUGAAGCUGACCUGAACCUCAGAAGAGUUUUUCUCUUGAGAUUAGAAAGCCAGGUUUUAUUAGAAUAAAACCGUUGUGGUUUUAACUAGGGCAAUCUCAGGAAUGAUGAACAAAGAAGGUAGAAAGGAGUUGGCAGUAUCUCCGCUUCUGCCUGUUGUGUCCUCGCAGGUGAGUCCUUGGUUCCACUUAAUUCAGCAUCUGCCUGAGUUACAGUGACCUGUCUCAUGUCUACGUGACACCAAAAGCCUCACAAGACUUUCAGUACUCGCUGUGUCCCCUGCCUGAGCUGUGAGCUUCUUGCUCUGACUCUAACAGGAAAUACACCCGGCGUGCUCUGACCUUCCUCUCUUCCAGCCCAGUUUGGAGCAUCUCAGAGAAGGAAGAUUUCCCUCCCUCGUUUGGAGUGUGUGGGGAAAGUCACUCAGUUUUUUAAAAGAACACAGCAUAGAAUUCGGAACAUAAUAAACACUGUGCUUUCUGAAAGUAAAUUAUUUUUGUCUUGCUUGUGGCUAUUUGGUGUCUUUGAGAAGCUGACUGUUGUUAGGUGUAUGUGAGGGGCAAGAGCUCUAAGACUGUAAAAAUGGGGGCUUGGUAUUGAGUUCUAGUCAGCUCCAGACUACGCUGCUGAUAAAGGGGGCACAGAGGAAUUCAGAGUCUAGUGCAGAAGGAAGACCACACAGCUUCUUCUCCAGGUCUCUCCACUUCAAUCCAGUGAUAGUAUCUUCUAGUGAUAUAAUUUGUACAUGUAUUAUCUUUGUAGCUACAAGGAGUGUAAAUAUAGGAAGAGUAUUUGCUAUGUUAAAACUUUUGUACGCUCUUUUGGGCAGCUAAGGAAUACAAUGUCUGUUUUGACAUUGUACAAACAAACAGUUUUGAGUAGUUGAAGUAAGUACCCAUCCAACAUCGUGACUGACUCAUCGCAGAGAUCAACACGUUUUAAGAAAGCAAUUCUACUUGUUUUUUGAUCUUUCAGUAGAUGAGAAUGUUAUCUUUUUUUCUACCUCUCUGAAGAUUGCAUUGAAAUAGAUUUAUCCAUUGUGAAACAUGAAAGAUUUAGAAUAGAUGCAGGUAAUAGGGAAAAUAAGUAUCUUUCUUGUGGAAUCUGACCCUGAAUCUAGGGUAUGUUUUAGUACUUCCUAUUUUCUUUGGAUUUUGAUUGCCUGAAGUGAUUAGCCCCGAGUUUGCCUCCAGAUGUUAGCAGGCCCUCUUACAGGAAUGAGGCUAGGCAUCAAAUACACGUGUAGAAGCAGCUCUAGAUUUACUUACAUUUUUGUAGCUAUGUUUUUUUUCAUGCAGAUUCUUACGUAUGAGCUAAGCUCGUAGGAAUCCUCCGCGUAUACAAAUAAAAGCUUUGGAUUUGGAAUGUAGCAGUUGCUGACCCAUAUGAGUAGGUCAUGCAAGCUUCAUUCUAAACUAAAGGUUGAUUUAAAUCUUAAGGUACAAUUUCUCCAAAUGCCAUAAUUUUAGUCAUACUUGCAUGUACUCAGGGGUUUUCUUUUUGUUUAUAUAAAUGUUCAUCCCUCUUUAACCUUUAACCACAUAGCCAAAUGUAAAUGUUUCCUUGUAGCAGCAACUUCCAAAUGUAUUGUUUUACUUUGUUUUCCCUUGCUUUUAUGGUUAGAUUUGGGAAAACAGAAGCCUUCAAUGUGACUGUUCUAUUAUUAUUAUUAUUAUUAUUAUUAUUUUGUGGUACUAAGGAAGCUGGUCUUUUUUGGUCAUUCUUCUUUUUUCCCUCCUUCUCCUUUCUUGAGAUUUUUCAUUAUUCAGAUAACUUGUUGCCACCCUUCUUUGCACUUCCCACUUUGCACUUGCAGUUUCUGCAGAGAUUGGUUGGUAGGAAAAUGAUAGCAUAGAAUUUAUCUCUGGACAGUAGGAUAGGUGGAGAUAACAGCGUAACUCCUCUUUAGCCCUGUUGAUAUGAAUACUAAUUCUCCAUUUUAGUUGCAUCUUCUUAUGACACCCAGGUCCGCCUCCUAACCUAGUACAAUAUCUUUUAAACCCUGUAGGGUAUAGUUUUCAUCAAUUUUCUUUGUCUUCCCAUAAAAUCAUCCGGCAUGAACUUGAUCUGCUUUUGUAAUAUUGAGU